UUUCGAAUUGAGUGAAGCAGCAACAACAAGGGAAAUAAUGUUGCAACUCUUCUGACUGCUUACUAUGGAGAUUUAAAACUUGACCUUGCCUGCUAGGUUCUGCUUGGAAGGCUUAUAACCACAGACAAAUCUGAUAUUGCAAGUUCUUUAUUGCUCAGUUAAUGAGAUUUUUACAUUUUCUUUCUAAUAUCUCAAGGAUUUGAUUAUUCUAAUUGAAAAAUUUUGUUUGUUUGAUUUUGGCUUUGUUUUUUUGUUUGUUUUUUUUGGGAGGGGGCUUUUUUGGUUUUGUCUUGUUUUAGAUGAAGACUGAUGGAGAUCUAGUUUUUUUUAGAUUUGUGGGUUUUUUUUCCCUAGGCAUUUUUUCUCCAGUUUUUGUUCAAUUGUGUGAAUUAAUUUUGUAAUAAUUAUUUGAUCUAAAAAUAAUUUUUCAUACUGACACGGUGUAUCUUUAUCAACUAAAGAGAGCUUUUUAAUGUAGUGGGAACAUGGUAAAUCGAAUGAGGAGGAUUAGCAGCUACACCUUCUAGAAUGGAUCCUUACAGGACUUAUUUGAAAACUGUCAAACUCAGUGGUUCAUGGUUGGAAGAACAAGAUGAAGAUAUUUAUGAGAAAUGGGCAUAUAUUAAAGCUGAUUUCUAAAGUUUCAUUGCCUACCCCUCCUUAUUCAGUAAGUAUGAAAAAAUAUUUAUUUAGUUAAAAACUUAGGUAUAAUGAGAAAUGAAAUUUUAUGUGCCUUUA
rnacentral:lncRNA from 1 species